rnacentral:rRNA from 1 species
AGCUUGCUACCUGACCUAGCGGCGGACGGGUGAGUAAUGCUUAGGAAUCUGCCUAUUAGUGGGGGACAACAUUCCGAAAGGAAUGCUAAUACCGCAUACGCCCUACGGGUGAAAGCAGGGGAUCUUCGGACCUUGCGCUAAUAGAUGAGCCUAAGUCAGAUGAGCUAGUUGGUGGGGUAAAGGCCUACCAAGGCGACGAUCUGUAGCGGGUCUGAGAGGAUGAUCCGCCACACUGGGACUGAGACACGGCCCAGACUCCUACGGGAGGCAGCAGUGGGGAAUAUUGGACAAUGGGCGAAAGCCUGAUCCAGCCAUGCCGCGUGUGUGAAGAAGGCCUUUUGGUUGUAAAGCACUUUAAGCGAGGAGGAGGCUACUUGGAUUAAUACUCUAGGAUAGUGGACGUUACUCGCAGAAUAAGCACCGGCUAACUCUGUGCCAGCAGCCGCGGUAAUACAGAGGGUGCGAGCGUUAAUCGGAUUUACUGGGCGUAAAGCGUGCGUAGGCGGCUUCUUAAGUCGGAUGUGAAAUCCCUGAGCUUAACUUAGGAAUUGCAUUCGAUACUGGGAAGCUAGAGUAUGGGAGAGGAUGGUAGAAUUCCAGGUGUAGCGGUGAAAUGCGUAGAGAUCUGGAGGAAUACCGAUGGCGAAGGCAGCCAUCUGGCCUAAUACUGACGCUGAGGUACGAAAGCAUGGGGAGCAAACAGGAUUAGAUACCCUGGUAGUCCAUGCCGUAAACGAUGUCUACUAGCCGUUGGGGCCUUUGAGGCUUUAGUGGCGCAGCUAACGCGAUAAGUAGACCGCCUGGGGAGUACGGUCGCAAGACUAAAACUCAAAUGAAUUGACGGGGGCCCGCACAAGCGGUGGAGCAUGUGGUUUAAUUCGAUGCAACGCGAAGAACCUUACCUGGUCUUGACAUAGUAAGAACUUUCCAGAGAUGGAUUGGUGCCUUCGGGAACUUACAUACAGGUGCUGCAUGGCUGUCGUCAGCUCGUGUCGUGAGAUGUUGGGUUAAGUCCCGCAACGAGCGCAACCCUUUUCCUUAUUUGCCAGUGAGUAAUGUCGGGAACUUUAAGGAUACUGCCAGUGACAAACUGGAGGAAGGCGGGGACGACGUCAAGUCAUCAUGGCCCUUACGACCAGGGCUACACACGUGCUACAAUGGUCGGUACAAAGGGUUGCUACCUAGCGAUAGGAUGCUAAUCUCAAAAAGCCGAUCGUAGUCCGGAUUGGAGUCUGCAACUC